rnacentral:misc_RNA from 1 species
GAUGAAGAACGUAGCGAAAUGCGAUAAGUAAUGUGAAUUGCAGAAUUCAGUGAAUCAUCGAAUCUUUGAACGCACAUUGCGCCCGGCAGUACUCUGCCGGGCAUGCCUGUUCGAGCGUCAUUUCAACCCUCAAGCCCUGCUUGGUGUUGGGGCCCUACGGCUGCCGUAGGCCCCGAAAGGAAGUGGCGGGCUCGCUACAACUCCGAGCGUAGUAACUCAUUAUCUCGCUUAGGGCGUUGGGCGGCGCUCCAGCCGUUAAAGAACCAUCUUUAACUCAAGGUUGACCUCGGAUCAGGUAGGAAUACCCGCUGAACUUAAGCAUAUCAAUAAGCGGAGGA